UACUAGCGGUCCGAGUUGCAGCCACUAUUAUUGGGUCUAAAACAUCCGUAGCUUGCUUGAUAAGUCUCUUGUGAAAUCCUGUAUCUCAAGUAUAGGACUUGCAAGAGAUACUGUUAGGCUAGAGACCGGGAGACGUAAGGAGUACGUUCGAAGUAGCGGUAAAAUGUGUUGAUCUCGGACGGACUAACGAGAGCGAAGGCACCUUACGAGAACGGUUCUGACAGUGAGGGAUGAAGGCCAGGGUCGCGAA
rnacentral:rRNA from 1 species